UACGAAGGGGGCUAGCGUUGCUCGGAAUCACUGGGCUUAAAGGGCGCGUAGGCGGGCCCGCCAGUCUGUGGUGAAAUCCUCCGGCUCAACCGGAGAACUGCCUCGGAUACUGCGGGUCUCGAGGGUGAUAGGGGUAUGCUGAACUAUCGGUGGAGCGGUGAAAUGCGUUGAUAUCGAUAGGAACUCCGGUGGCGAAGGCGGCAUACUGGAUCACUUCUGACGCUGAGGCGCGAAAGCCAGGGGAGCAAACGGG
rnacentral:rRNA from 1 species